rnacentral:misc_RNA from 1 species
UAAUUCUUCAAAUGCGUUAGUUCCUGAGUCUAGCUCUCCUGCUGUUUGCCUCUUCCGCUUCGCAGGCGACUCCGCUGGUGGCGCCUUUAUGGGCUCCAUCUUCGGCUACGGUCUUCCCUUCCAUCCUUGUUAUAUAAUAUUUUUGUUUAUCUUCAUAAACGUUUUGGCCUUUAAUUUUGCUUAAUUGGGAUUUUUAUUUCAUUGAAUAUUUGGACUGUUAUAUUUGUUCUGUUAGAUGAUUAGCCCUUCGAAGCGGGUUUAGUGUGUGUAUGUUUACGGUUCUUCAGCUAUGGUUCUUGGUAAGAGCUGAAUUUUGCCUUUUUAGGGUAGGAGUGAUGUUUAAUCACCCGUAAUCUGAGUUUGAAAUGAUUUCCGUAGUUUGGACGUCUGGGAUUUGGGACGUGCGUCCACUGCAGGAUUUUGGAAUGCCUGUUUGCCCUUUGGUUUAAAAUGAGUAUUAUUUUGACUCCUUGAUGCCCUAUAACAAACGUGCUUUUGGCCUUUCAUGUUUAUAUAAGUGAUGUUGUUUUAUAACACAUAGCGCACUCUAAGUUGGAGUUUAGUGUAAUUAAGCUGCGGUGGUGAUUUGAAUAAAGUAUUAAGCAGUUGGUACUUGGUAUGGGGUUGUAAUAAUAGUUUUAAGAUUCAACUUUUGUUAUAAGAAAAAUUAAAUUGAAAGGAAGAACGUGGUGCAUCCAGCAUGUAAGGAACUUUUCUGGAAAUAAAAAAUAAUUGGUUCUAUGGUACUUUUGCUGGCCAAGUGCAAAUGCCAAGGGCCUUUGUUACGUUUGGCAAUGCACUACUCACCUCUAUACUGUGGACUAAAAAUCUUUGGAUAUAGAAAUUCUAGUGCCUUUUGAUGGUGGAGAAGACCUUUGAAACACAUUCAUCAUUUUAUUUGAUUAAAUAGGAUGAGAGAAGAACAUGCUCAUCAUUGCAUCAAUGAUGGUGCAAAUAUUAUCUAAGAUUCUCAGUAAACAAUAGACGUGCUGCAUGAUGUUAGUACUUAUGUAGAAGUUUAAAGUCGUAUUGCAUUUUGCAUGCCACGUUUAAGGUAGUAGGAUGCAUAUGGAACAUAUAAGUGAUCUGUAUGUGCAUAAUUUUUCGAAUUUAAGUUCAUUACUUGUUGAUGCUGAGCACUUAGGGUAUGAUGACCCAGGGAAAGCAGAGGGGGGCAUAAAAAUUUUGAGUUUUGUUUGUUUUUGGUACAAAAAAUUUUGAGGUUUUAUUGGUAAAUCUCGUAUUUUUAUUGAUUUCAGUUGUUUAAUUCAUGCCUGUUAGUUUCUAAGGAAUAUCCAGAAGUAGGAUGCUACUCUUUUUGAAUAUUACUUUACUAAUAUUUGAGAUGGUGUUGGUAGGAUAAGCCUAUUAUUCUGGAAUUGUACAUCCUUGUAGGUUCUUGAUCAUCUAUUAUUAUCAAAGGAUAGCCAGCUGGAAGCUGUAUGUAGAAAUAAAUUAUUUAAAUAUUAUGACCAUGCUAACAUGAAAAUGCUCCGUUAUUUUUCAGUAUUUCACAUUCCAAUUGAAAACCAUUGUUCUGUAUGGAUUGUUAGGGGAUGUCCCAUGUCCUGAUAUGAACCUGCUUGAUAUGAAUACUUUUCCAGGUUCUGGAUUGAUUAAAAAGAAAGGCUUUAAAGGAUCCUUU